AAUAUUUGACAAAGGGGGGAACCCUGAUCCAUCCAUGCCGCGUGUGUGAAGAAGGCCUGUUGGUUGUAUAGCACUUUAUGCGAGGAGGAGGAGCUAUUGGUUGAUAACUAAGAUGCUUGGACGUUACUCGCAGAAUAAGCACCGGCUAACACCUCGCUACCAGCCGCGGUAAUACAGAGGGUGCAAGCGUUAAUCGGAUUUACUGGGCGUAAAGCGCGCGUAGGUGGUCAAUUAAGUCAAAUGUGAAAUCCCCGAGCUUAACUUGGGAAUUGCAUUUGAUACUGGUUGGCUAGAGUAUGGGAGAGGAUGGUAGAAUUCCAGGUGUAGCGGUGAAAUGCGUAGAGAUCUGGAGGAAUACCGAUGGCGAAGGCAGCCAUCUGGCCUAUUACUGACACUGAGGUGCGGAAGCAUGGGGAGCAAAC
rnacentral:rRNA from 1 species